UCCAGAGGGAGCGAUCGUUGUUCGGAAUUACUGGGCGUAAAGGGCGCGUAGGCGGCCUUGUAAGUCUCGUGUGAAAUCCCUCGGCUCAACUGAGGAACUGCACGGGAAACUGUUUGGCUUGAGUUCGGGAGAGGGAAGCGGAAUUCCGGGUGUAGCGGUGAAAUGCGCAGAUAUCCGGAGGAACACCAGUGGCGAAGGCGGCUUCCUGGACCGACACUGACGCUGAGGCGCGAAAGCUAGGGGAGCAAACAGG
rnacentral:rRNA from 1 species